UGGGGAAUAUUGGGCAAUGGGCGAAAGCCUGACCCAGCAACGCCGCGUGAAGGAUGAAGUAUUUCGGUAUGUAAACUUCGAAAGAAUAGGAAGAAUAAAUGACGGUACUAUUUAUAAGCUCCGGCUAACUACGUGCCAGCAGCCGCGGUAAUACGUAGGGAGCAAGCGUUGUUCGGAUUUACUGGGCGUAAAGGGCGCGUAGGCGGCGCGGUAAGUCACUUGUGAAAUCUCUGAGCUUAACUCAGAACGGCCAAGUGAUACUGCAGUGCUAGAGUGCAGAAGGGGCAAUCGGAAUUCUUGGUGUAGCGGUGAAAUGCGUAGAUAUCAAGAGGAACACCUGAGGUGAAGACGGGUUGCUGGGCUGACACUGACGCUGAGGCGCGAAAGCAUGGGGAUCAAACAGGAUUAGAUACCCCCGUAGUCCCUGAGCGGGCUGGCAAGGCGCAU
rnacentral:rRNA from 1 species